CCAUCAGUCAACGGCCUUGGAUGCUUCCACAGCUGAUUUUUAAUUGAGAGCUUCAGAUGGAUUAUAGAGAGGGCUUAGAGGAACCACAGUCCGUGAGGCCCCUGGAGACUCUCUCAUCUCCUCCUCUAACCGUUCUUUUCGCUGCCAAACAAAAGAGAAGGGGCCAGGUGGCACAUGGAGUCAGAAGGCAAAGUGGGAGUUGUUAAAGACAGAUUACUGCACCAAGGGUAGAGUUUGAUUGAGAGGUCAGGAGAGGACUCAGCCAUCAAAGGCAUCCAACUUGAAGACUAGAGAUACCCCAGGGGCAAGGUAAGCACAUAAAUUUGAGCUCACACAUGGAUACUUGCCAA